CAUCAUCAUGUCAUCACUUGUCCAUGAUUUGUCCAUCGUUUUGGGGUCACAGCCCCCAGAAGCAGAAGCCCUAUUCUUCUCCACUCAAGCGACAGUAAAUGCAAUUGGCUAAGACGGGCUAAGACAGGUGUUAGCCUCAACCCUAAUAUUUUCGGGGGAAUUGGGAACGCACUCGCUCCCCAAAAGAAACCCCAUAUCGAAUGAAACCAGCACAUGCACCCCCAACAUAGCAUAGAUCGGACUUUGGCAGCAGCAUAACCAGCGAGAGAGAGAGGCAGCAGACAAAAUGUCAAGAAACUGAAAAUAGAAUAAAAUGAAAUGCCAACUAAAUGGAUAAUUAGCCGGCAGGGCACAUUGGCAGUUCUGCACGAAAGUUGGAACAUUUCAGACAGUGGCUUUGAAUACUUCGAGACGAGCGGACGUGUGUGUGAUAGCAAAAAGGAUAACCAUAGGAAUAUAGGAUUAAAAAACUAACAAAAAUUAAUAAGAAUAGGCUUUCAUCUACCAAUUUCCAAAGUUCAAACACUUUAAAAUGAAAUACUUUGAAUUCCUGAGCCUUUCCUCAGUGGGUCUUAGCAUAGCCAUCCUAGACAUCCUUAUAGCAUUGAGCAUACUCGGUCCCUCUACCUAUUAUCUGUACUUUGAUUACUUGGAUAUCGAUAGGUGGGAACAGACCAACGAUGUGGAGGCCCUAAGUGCCUUUGGCACAUUCGUUUCCACGUUGGUGGAUUAUCUCUGGGUGCGUGAAUUCUCGCAGGUCUUUUACAUGACUGCCACACUCAUUAUUUGGGUCAAGGCAUUGAUAAAUCUGGCAGUGGCCUGCCUUCUAGUCGAUGGCAUUAAGCAGAAACGACUGAUUUGCAUUGCACCUUGGCUGAUCAACACCUAUCUAUCGAUGACCGUGGAAACUGGCAUGUUUGUGAGCCUGGAACUCCGAAUUGAUGAAGUCGAUGCCGCAGUGGAUCGUCGGAUAGCGCGUAGUCUCAUCUUUGGCGUAUUUUUAGUGCUCAAUGCAUUGCUUUCUUAUGGCAUCUAUGCGCUCUAUCGGAAGCUAAAGUCCACACCGAAUGAGAAUAUCGAAGCCAUUCAACAGAAUCCUCAUACAUUCAACGCCUAAAACUAAGUAUCUUUGAGGGAUUUGAUUUUUAAAGCUGUCUUAAAGCAUUUAUAGACAUCAGAUCCCAGGAUAUUCCACCGUAGCUCCUCGUCCUAUCGGGAUUUCCAAGGGAUGUGCUCCUGUGGCUGGACUGUGGCAGCAACUGGCUGUCCUGCUGCAAGCCAUUGCCAUGAUACCGCUGCUGUGUGGCUACGUCGACAACUUGGCGUCCCAUCCACUGCAGCAGGGACCAAUGAUCGACUGAGAGCCGGGAAAUAAUGCCAGCAAACCCCCAUUCAAACGCCGCCGAAUCAAACGCUGGGCUUCAGCUUCAAGACGCGUAAGCGCAUUCAAGGAUCAAGGACAUUUUUCUGAUCACGGUGGGGCUUGGCACGACCCGAUCGGGCCGUAAAUUAUGGAGAAAUAGAAUAUAUAUGUCUGCGGUAAAUAUCCUUGAUCCUUGGUCCUCGAUAAGGACUCCAUUAAGUCGGGCCUCAAAUAACGGAGAAAAAAAAAUGGCUUGUAAUGGCCGUGAUCAGAAAAAUGUCCUUGAACCUUCGCCAAGGACUCCAACAGCUCCAAGCAUACAUAUUCAGUUUUCUCGGCUAUUUGUGAGCCGAUCUGGGCGUGCGAUGGCUUCCUGUGAUCGGAAAAAUGUCCAUGAUCUGACGGAGUCCUUUUCAAGGAUCAAAGAACAUUUUCCCCAAUCAAAAAUAUAUAAUUUUCUCCGCUAUUUGUGAACCGAUCUGGGCGUGCCACGCCUUUUUGUAAUCGGAAUAAUU